rnacentral:rRNA from 1 species
UACGUAGGGGGCAAGCGUUGUCCGGAUUUAUUGGGCGUAAAGAGCGUGUAGGCGGCCAUACAGGUCAGCUGUGAAAACUCGAGGCUCAACCUCGAGACGUCGGUUGAAACCGUAUGGCUAGAGUCCGGAAGAGGAGAGUGGAAUUCCCGGUGUAGCAGUGAAAUGCGUAGAGAUCGGGAGGAACACCAGUGGCGAAGGCGGCUACCUGGACCAGCACUGACACUGAAGCACGAAAGCGUGGGGGGCAAACAGG